CUGUUGGUCCUCCCCACGCCUGACUCCUGGGGUCCCCGUGCCCCGUGCCCCGCGGCGCGCAUCGGUCUCCCCCCGCCUGACUCCUGGGGUCCCUGUGCCCCGUGCCCCGCAGCGCGCAUCGGUCUCCCCACGCCUGACUCCUGGGGUCCCCGUGCCCCGUGCCCCGCGGCGCGCAUCGGUCUCCCCCCGCCUGACUCCUGGGGUCCCUGUGCUCCGUGCCCCGCGGCGCGCAUCGGUCUCCCCCGCCUGAUGGUCGGGCCCCCGUGCCCCGUGCCCCGCGGCGCGCAUCGGUCUCCCCCGCCUGAUGGUCGGGCCCCGUGCCGCGCGGUUCAAAUGGUUGUCCUCAAACCUCACCACUUGGGGUCCCUACGACCCAAUGGUCUGGCAUCCUAUGGGGUCCGCAUCCCAGCCCCCACCUGUGCUGGGUCGGGGGGCACUAAGGGAUGAAUGGCUUCAGAGAUAGGCUCUUUCAAACCUCAGCCCCCCCUUUAAAGAUUUAUUUCCCUAUUCGGGGGAGGGGGAAGAGGCAGAGAGCAUCUCCUGCAGACUCCCUCUGGGUGUGGAGGCCAACUGGGGGCUUGAUCCCACCACCCUGAGAUCAUGACCUGAGCAGAAAUCAAGAGUUGGACACUUAACCCACUAAGCCACCCAGGCGCCCCACUCACUCCCUUUUUUUUUAAGCUCCAGAUAAGCGGGGAUCUUUUUUUCACUGUUAAGAUGGAUUGCCAUAUCUAUAUGCACAUUGAGUUUUUUGUUGUAAAUAUUCGUAGUGUAAAACUUACCAUUUUAACUAUUUUCAAGUGUGUGGUUCUGUGGCAUGAAGUCCGUUCCCGUUUGACAGCCAUCACCACCAUAUAGCCACAGAAGCUUCAUCUUAAACUGAAACUCAGAGCCAUUAAACAGUAACUCCCAAUUUCUCCUUCCGUUUAUAAACAUUUAUUUUUUACCUUUAAAAUGGCUGAGAUUUCAGUCAGGUUUUGAGUGUGCAGAAGGAAUCCUGCCACCCCAGCCACCGCCCGGUUCUCUUCCCAGAAGUCUUAGUUCUUUAUCUUUCCAUCGAAGUUUAUGCAUGAUACAUGCAAAGACCUUCUUUCCCACCCAGCUUUUCCCAUUUAGCUACUUCUUGGAGAUCAUCUGGUUCUAUUGUCUACAUGUGCCUUAAUCUUCCCAACUCGCCUCCUGUUGGUGCACAAUUAGGCGGUGACCAAUUUUUUUUAUAUGGUAUAAGCUGCUUUUUAUGUAGCGCAUUUUGUUUAAGUGUUAGUUUUCCUUAGGAGAAAUUUCAGGAAUUGGAAUCACCGGGCCCGGUAGAACGUGUCAGGUAAUUUUGAUAGCUGUUGGCGAGUUCCUAGAAGGAAGUUGAAUCCGUUGUUGAAGCCUGGCCACCAAAGUGUGGAGUUUUGGAUAGCAUCUGUUGAUUACCACCGUGUAGAAAGAUGGGGUUCUAUUCUACCCCAACAACAUCCCUUCCUGCCUGUCCUCCUCGUGCAGUCAAUGUUUCAAAGGUGCGUGGAAAACGGAGUAAAGCUUGAACUUUCAAGGCCAAGUACCAAGAAUGAAGAGCAGGGUGUACUCCUGUGAUCUCACAGUGUUGAUGAGAGGAAGUCUCGGGUGGUGUCCCUCCAGUGUUAAUGUGCACACAAGUCAUCUUGGGAGCUCGUGGAAAUCUGGAUUCAGGAGAUCUGGAUUGCGGCCUCUGCAUUUCUAGCAAGCCCCAGGGGAUGCCAGUGACAAAAGCUGCUGGUCUGAAGGCUACCUGUGAGUAGCAAAGACAGACGACAAGAAGUGCAUCAACUCCAGAAUCAGGCGAACUGAACUUGGGGAGGAUUCCGUGUUGUGGAUCCAGGGCCACCUUGGCUAGAGCCCAGCAUGUUCAGACACCAGGCACCUGCCAACAUCACAGGAAGGUGAGAGGUAGCGGCGCUUGUGGCAGAGAUGGAACAAGAAGCAAUUAAAAACUGGCCCGGCACGAGGUUGCCCCCAGCCUUCACCUUUUCCAACUUCCAAAACUGUCCUUCAUUCUGUCCCUCUUCAGAAAGCAGCUGUGUGACUUUCUCAUCAUCACAAAAUGAAGGCUCUAAAGCCUGUGAUUCUCUUCUAAGCUCUGUCAAAGUCACAUAUACUCCUCUCUCUUCAUUUGUGAAGCCUUCUUGGGGCCUCUCCGGCAGGGCACGAGGCCGGGUGAGGCAGGAGGGAGCCCUGUCCUCGGGAGCUUCACAGCCUGCCUGUGGAGAGGAGACAACUAGAGUGUUGCUGGAGGUGGUGUGAAUGCUCAGGCCUCACAGACCAGUCUGGGGGAUGACAUGAUUGUCAGCUGUAUCUUGAACAAAGGUCAUUGGUCACAUGGAUGACUUGGAGCAGGGAGACCCCUAAAGGUUGUCACGGUAGUCUGUAACCUCUGCUGUCCGCUGCAGCCUAGAUGGUGACAUCUGUCAUCUACAGCUGUGGUGGUCUGUGACAUCUGUCAUCUAUAGACUAUGAUAGCGUGUCGUCUGUCGACCCUGAGAGCCCAUGUUUGUCGUCUAUAGACCAUGAUGGUCUGUGUCACCUGUGUCGUUUAUAGACCAGGAUGGUCCGUGUCGUCUGUUAACUGUGACAGCCCAUGUCUGUCGUCUAUAGACCAUGACAAUCUGUCAUCUGUGUUGUCUGUAGGCCAGGACGGUCCAUGUCGUCUGUCAUUUGUUAACCGUGACAACCCGUGUCUGUCGUCUAUAGACCGUGAUGGCCUGUGUCAUCUAUAGACCAAGAUGGUCCGUGUCAUCUGUCGUCUGGACUAUGACGUCUGUAUCCUCUGUAGACAUGGUCUGUGACAUUUGUCAUCUAACACAGACUAUGGUGAGCAUAUAGUGAGCAUAUGGUGGUCUAUAAUGAAAGUUCUGGACCAGCAUCGGAGGGUCAGCAAGGGAAUCUGAGGCCUCGAGAAGUCUAUGGGAAGAAAACAUGACGUGUUGAGGCCUCGGGGUCGGGACUGAGGAGACGAGAUGGGUAAACAAUCAUGGCAGAUUCCGCUCCUAAGAAUAUUCUAGAAAGUGCCAGCAACCGACCUGUGUGACAGAAGGCAGCUGCGUGGUUG